rnacentral:rRNA from 1 species
CCUACGGGAGGCAGCAGUAGGGAAUAUUGCUCAAUGGGGGAAACCCUGAAGCAGCAACGCCGCGUGGAGGAUGAAGGUUUUCGGAUUGUAAACUCCUUUUGUUAGAGAAGAUAAUGACGGUAUCUAACGAAUAAGCACCGGCAGACUCCGUGCCAGCAGCCGCGGUAAUACGGAGGGUGCAAGCGUUACUCGGAAGCACUGGGCGGAACGGGCGCGUAGGCGGGAUAGACAGUCAGAUGUGAAAUCAUAUGGCUUACCCAGAGAACUGCAUUUGAAACUUUUAUUCUAGAGGAUGGGGGAGGUAGGUUGAAUUCUUGGUGUAGGGGUAAAAUCCGUAGAGAUCAAGAGGAAUACUCAUUGCGAAGGCGACCUGCUAGAACAUAACUGACGCUGAUGCGCGAAAGCGUGGGGAGCAAACAGGAUUAGAUACCCCAGUAGUC